GAUGAACGCUGGCGGCGUGCCUAAUACAUGCAAGUCGAGCGAACGGACGAGAAGCUUGCUUCUCUGAUGUUAGCGGCGGACGGGUGAGUAACACGUGGAUAACCUACCUAUAAGACUGGGAUAACUUCGGGAAACCGGAGCUAAUACUGGAUAAUAUUUUGAACCGCAUGGUUCAAAAGUGAAAGACGGUCUUGCUGUCACUUAUAGAUGGAUCCGCGCUGCAUUAGCUAGUUGGUAAGGUAACGGCUUACCAAGGCAACGAUGCAUAGCCGACCUGAGAGGGUGAUCGGCCACACUGGAACUGAGACACGGUCCAGACUCCUACGGGAGGCAGCAGUAGGGAAUCUUCCGCAAUGGGCGAAAUCCUGACGGAGCAACGCCGCGUGAGUGAUGAAGGUCUUCGGAUCGUAAAACUCUGUUAUUAGGGAAGAACAUAUGUGUAAGUAACUGUGCACAUCUUGACGGUACCUAAUCAGAAAGCCACGGCUAACUACGUG
rnacentral:rRNA from 1 species